rnacentral:lncRNA from 1 species
UGUUAGCUUGUUAUAUUUUCCUUAGUGGCCUUCUCAUAGCUCUUCAUUAGCUUUUUGCAAUGUAACUAUUACUGCUUACAUCAUCAUCAUCAUCAUUAUUAUUGUUAUUAAGGUGGUGAGCUGGCAGAAACGUUAGCAUGUUGGGCAAAAUGCUUAGCAGUAUUUCGUCUGUCUUCACGUUUUAAGUUCAAAUGCUGCCGAGGUCAACUUCGCUUUUCAUCCUUUCAGGGUCGAUAAAAUAAGUACCAGUUGAUGUGAUCGACUAUCCCUUUCCCCCAAAUUUCAGGCCUUGCGACUAUAGUAGAAAGGAUUAUUAUUAUCAUUAUUAUGGGUAUUGGUGUGAUUAAAACACUAGAGUACUGGACCUAAUGACUUGCAGUACAUCUAUCUUUGUUCAUCACAAGUGUUUGGUUAAAAAAAAAAAACAGAGAAUUAAAUGAAACUGGUAAAUGAAUAAUAGACCAUAUGGGAAAUAUAGGUUUUGUUCCGAGUCCCCAAGUCUGCAGUCCAAGCAGCAUUGUUGACUGAUCACCCACUUGUGUUAUCACAGAUCAAUUCAUGAUAAGUCUAACAUAGUCCACAGUGAGUGUGCCAUGUUAUCCUGGAUCAGAGCUGAAUGAAUCUAUGAUAGAUGAGGAUAGAUGUACUUGGUUUUGUCACUUUAUUGGUCUGAGUGCUAAUGUUGCUGGGCUCAGCUUUACUUUCCAUUUCUCCUUGGCGAUGGCCAAUAAAAUAAGUACUCAGAGUAUCAACUUUACUACUGCUAUAUAAAUUUUGAACCUUGUGCCAAUGUUGAUAGUAUCAGUAGAGCAUUGGGCUUCAUGUCUAGUGAUAUUUAAAUUUUGAAUCCACAUCUCACCAAUGUCAGUUUUGCUUUUCAUCCUUUCAGAGUUGAUAUAUUAAAGUUCCAGUCACUUACUGGGCUUAGUAUAAUCAACAGUGUCCUUGUAAAUUAUAUGACUUUAUGUCAGAAGUCCACUAUUUUCUUUUAUUGCCAUACUUAUUGCCAUAUAAAGUGCAUGAUUGCCACAAAUUCCAAAUUUUUCUGUAAAAAUCUCAGAUUUUAUGUCUAUGUAAAAAAAAAAAAAAAGUACAAAUAAUGACUUCCAAAUAUGAAUGUGUAAUAUUUUUAGACUACUGUAACUAACCAGUUUAUAAUCAUAUUGCUUCCUAAGGGAAUGAAAAUGUUACAUGCAAGAGUUCACAUAAAUAUUCACUGUCAAAUGUGAUUAUUCCAUUUAAGAAGGGUUUGAAGAAGACAACUUAAAAGAAAAGAAUGAUUUCUUGUCCUUUUGUGUGUAGCUGGUGAUAUUAAUGUUAUCCAUUGUAAAAUUAUUUCAGUUUGAAUGUUUAAAUUACCUGGUGAUGCAGCUUCUGUUGACUGUUCUAAUGUUAGUAAUUUCUCUUGAAUUACUAAAUAUGCUUUAUUAGUAUCUAGAAGUUUAAAAGUGAAAUACAUGUCAAGACAAAAACAAAUGUAAAAUAAAAAUAUAUUUUGAAAAAGAAAGCUAAAAAUAUAUUUUGUUCAAGUAAAAUGAAACUUAAGCAGAAAAAAAAAAGAAAAGAAUUUAAUAAUUUUCUUUGCAUUGAAGUAAAUUUUUGGUGCUUUGUCUGAUAGCUGGGUUGUUCUGUGUAAUGUAACUAAUUCUACUUACACAGUCAUUACUUGCUCUAGUACACACUGAAGUAGUCAAUGCUAGCUUUAUGGUAAAAUGGUGACUUGUUUGAGAGCUGAACAUCAUAUCCUCCUGCAAUAGGAUACUAAAGUCCCAAUUUUCUCAGGGCUUACUUUAAAAAAAAAAUUAAGCGUAAAAUAUUGGUCUUAGUUAUAUGCUGACAAGGACAUGUGGUUACCUUGUUCAGAGAUGAAACAUUUAAUCACCUAUUUUUGUUUUACUCUCAUUUACAAUACCUUUUAUUUUUGGUACUGUUCUUGCUUUCCUUCAUGUUUGAAUGUGAUUUUUCUCUUGCUAGCAUUGGUUGGAUGGAUCUGCAAAUGUUGAUAUUUGCAUGAAAUGCUAGAUUUAAGGUACUCUACAACCACAUUUCCUUGCUUAUGCAAACCAAUCACCUAAAUAAGAAUGAUUGUAACCAUGUUCAUUACACAGGAACUUUUUACCCUUUUAAGUCUACAGCCCAACACUUAAACAACUUAAGUCACCCUGUCCAUUUGAAUAUUAGUUUCUCUGUAUAAUUCUUUUAUUUAUUGGACAAUCACAUGUGAUAUUUAUUAAUCAUGGAGUCAUUUAAGAAAAAAAUAUAAUUUAUCCUGAUAGAAAAUAUUGUGACAGCUAAUUUAUACAUUUGUUGCAACCUUUUCACCCCGGUGUGUUUUGGCCCUAACCCAAUAAGGGUCGCUUAUUUUGACAGUAAUAGAGGCAGGGAGUUGUAUGCUAAAAACUAAAAAAUGAUACUAGGUAGUUUUCCCCACCUCCUUUCUGUUUGCUUCAGGACAGAUAUAUUCACAACUGGAAGCUUAUUGUAACUUAAAUAUUUAUAGUGAUGUGGUGCUGAGACACUUGCUGGGUCCUUGCAUUUUUGGGAGUGUCUUAACAAUAGUGAGGCCCUAGUUUUUGAGUAUCUUAACAAAAAAAUUGGUAGAUUAUUAAAUUUGAUUUAUGCUUGGUGGAGUGGGGGUUAGCACAAAAGAAUGAUGCAAACAUUUACCAUCCAUGUCUCUAACUAAUUACAAUAAUUUGAAGCACAAGAACCAUUUAGAAACACACACUCAAACAUAUAUAGUGUAUAUAUGUAUGUAUGGAGGUAUCUUAUUUAAUAUAUUAUUUAUCCUGAUAUACAUACAUAAAUAUGUGUAUAGAUAUAUGUGUGUAUGGAUACUAAUGCAUAUAUAUAUAUAUAUAUAUAUAUAUUGAGCAUUGUCAAAAAUUAAUUCUUUCAAUAUCAAGCUACCUGAUAUUGCCCUUAGGUCUCUGAUACAAUACCUUAUAUUUUAUUAUGCAAGAACCUUCUGUUAUAUUUCAAAUAUCAGCUUAAUAAUGCUUAAUUUAGUCAUUUUAUGAAAUACUUCAAUUUCAAGAUUAAUUUAAAUAUAUUAGUAGUAUAUUUGAUUAGAAAUAGGGUCUUGAAAAUAUUUAGAAAGUAAUAUUUUUGUCUCUUAGUGCAAAAGCUGAGUAGAUGAAGUACUGGAUACUUCAGUCUUCCCUCAGAAAUCCAUUAUUGCUUUGCAUUAUUUUGUUCUACAUAACACUCUUAAAAUUUGUUUGUCUCAGAUCUCAAACUAAAUAAAAUCUUUAAAAAGCCCCUUUAGCUUUAAACAUCAAAAUUCUGAAUUUGUUAACAAUAAAGAAUGAAUAGCUUAGUAUUUCUUCAGGUAAAUGUUACUUGAGUAAAGUGUUGCACAGUGCUAAUAUUUCCAACUUCCUGCAGAAUGAAAUUACAUUCUAAUAAAGAUUGAGAUUUAUCUUAGCCCGAAGAACAAAAAUUAAGAUACCCUGCAACCACAUGUCCCUGCUAAUGCAAACCGUUCAUCUAAAUAAUGAUGAAUCUAAAUCUUCAGGAAAAUUAAACAGAAAUUAAACAGAAAUAGUGCUUGUAUUGUUUGAUUAGUUAUCCUAGUGUAAGUCUGACUGGAAAUGCUAAUUAAAGAAUUCUGAGUAAUAAUUUCUAACUUUUUAGUACUCUUAAUUAAGGAAGAUAUUAUUGAAAUCACUCAUUGAUACCCAUUAAUUUUUUUUUUUUUUUGUAAUUAUUAUUCAUUCCCCAAACUAAAUUAAACAUGAACUCAAACCCUUUAGCAUUCAGAUUACUCUACCAAAUGUAAUACUUAUUUAUUCACUCUACUUUGAAUUCAUUUAUGCAUUAUGUUGAGGCAAGGUUUUGAUGAUGGGAUUGCUUAUUUUUGGAAGGACAUUAUAUGGAAAGUGUGAGUAGAUAGGUGGAACAUAAAGCAGGUAGAAUAUUUAAGCUGGAUAUAGCCAGUUUCAAUGCUCAAGGGUUAAAGUAAAGUAAUCUCAUCAGAAAACUCUUUGUGGAAACCUCUAUAAAUGGGCUCAUUUCUUGGUAAAAGAGAUUAGAUUUGUUAAUUUUGAGAGAGAGAGAGAGUGAAAGGAGUCUCUUCCCCAUUUAUUUUGUAACAUGCCAAAUGAAGGAUGUUUUGUUAUGAAAGAUAUCCUGAGGUAUUGAAAUGACAGCUUCAAGGGGUUUUGAGAUGUUCAUGUUAAAAAAAUUUCUUUUCAAAUGAUUUGCAUCAUUUCCACACCUUGAUAUUUGUUGGUAUGUGUGUAUGCGAGUAAAGCCCACAUAGAUACAGAUGAGUACAUGUACAUAAACAUACUCACGCAGUCAUUGUACGUAUGCAGAUACAUAAAUACACACAUCGACAAGACAUUAUUACAUAACUAUAUGUGUGACUGAAAUCUUUAUGUUCAAGUUUGUAAGUCCCAUUGAUACCAGUGAGGUAUCAUAUUGAUACCCUUCUAGUGACAUCACUAGUAUCCCCAAAUAUUGGAAAUAACUUCAUUUUGUUUUAUUAAUUGCUUAUAUUAAAUUGUAAAGAGAGUAUUGUAAAUCUUGGAAACUGUGCUCCUACUGGGACCAAUCAUGUUUGUAAAUAAAGAAAAAAAUAUAACCAUU